rnacentral:lncRNA from 1 species
AAAUAAAAUUAUGUAAAGAAGAAAAAGUUAAAUCAAAACUUCAAACUUCCAUUUUUUAUAUGUAUUCAUGCUUCUAUAUUUUUCAGCUAAAAAUAGCCAGUGUUAUAGUCAUGUACCUGGUAUUAGAAACAAGAGAAUAGGAAGAUGAGAAUCAGCAGCAGUAGUAACAACACAACAACAGAAAAGCAACAACAGCAACAGCUAAAUCAGCAACAGAUUUCAACAACACCCAGUAAAAUCAAAUAAGAAAACACCAACAGAAAUGGACUCUAACUCACAGUAAUAUCCACACAAGCCAAAUGAACUCAAAGACAUACUAGAGUUACUUAAGGUCAGUCUUAGUGUAUUUGCAUCAAGAGAAAUGAAAUCAACGAAGCAAAAAGAGAAACUUCAAAUAAACAGUGGGAUUUUCAGCUCUCUAAUUUUUUUUAACUCUCAAUUCUUUUCUUAUUCUCUGUUUUUGUCUCCUCGUAAGUUCUGAAAUUUUUUAUCUCUACAAUUCCGUCAUCCUCUAAGUGUCAAAUGACCUUCUUUUAUACCCAAAGGUAAGAGUCGUUCUUUACUUUUUACCUAUUUUCUUUUUACUUUUAAACUAUUAUUACUAACCCUUUUACCUAUUUUACUUUUCAGCCUUAUAUUUUUCUAACUAUGUGACUUUUUAACUUUUUCAAUGGUCAAAGACAAACUUUUAUUAUUACCCCUCUUUACUUUACAUCAUUAUGUCUUGUUCCCCACCACCACUUAAAUAAAUUUAUUAGAUUCCCACUACCAUAUGUAUUAUUCCCCACUUUAAUAUUUUAAUCAUACUUUUGCAUCUAGUGGAUAAAGCACUCAACAUAAAUAAUUUAACAAGUUGUCAAUUCUCGUAUUACCCCUAAAAUUGUUAAAAUUACUAUUCUACCCUCAUUCCUUUCAAUCUGUACCAAGAACGUGUUAGCUAUAACCAAUUUUCCUAAUCAAAAUCUACACUGAUUCUUGAUUAAUCAAUCUGGUUGAAUAUGAACCAAAAACAACAUUAAUAUUAAACAGAAACUCAACAGAACACUUAAGCUGAAGCUAAAAAAAUCACCUUAAUUCUAAGCAUCAAACUCAACAGAACAUCAUUAUGCUUCAAAUCGCUAAACUCAACAACACUUUAAACUUGAACUCAAAACAGUAUCACAACAAAAGAUGAAGGAUUCAAUGAUUCGGAACAACAAAUCUAAAGUAAAGUUAUACAAAAAUGAAUGAGCACUAUAAAUUCACUAAAUCGAAAACAAGAGAGAUUCAAAACGAAGCUAAAGCAUGGUAAGAUAAUGAACACAAAAUGAAACACAAGCCAUAAACUCUAAAUCUUUACAGAACUAUUAAAAUAGAGCCGAACUAACAAAACAAUGAAGAUGAAGGACCGACCUGAAGAAGCUUUUCGAUUAAACUGAAAUGAAGCAAAAUCUCAAGAACAACGACUCAAAAUAAAGAGGCUGAUCGUAACUUCGAACAAGUUCCAACGCGAACAGAUUUAAGAUUCUCCUCCAUUGAAAAAUAAAGACACAAAACUUCGAAAUUCAAACGACUUCUAAAACAAACCAGAUGCCAGUUUGCCAACUUCCGGCGAGUUGUUGUGGACUAGAAGAGGCAUAAACAGUGAUGGGUGAAGUGGUCGCUAGUUGUGUGUUCGUGUGAGGAGUAUGGUGUGAGGGGGGACGAGACAAUGGUGGUGAUCUGGAGGAUGACGUGGUCGCCUGGUUGCUGGAAUGACGGGCUGGUUGUCGUCAUUUUGGACGCAACACUAUGGGUGAUCGAUGGGCUAGGUCGUUUGGCGUGGAAGGUUGCUCGUGAAGGGUGCUGGAGGUUUGGUUAAGGACGUGAGGCGACGAACAGAGAUGGCUGAAGGUUUUUUCCGACAGGUCUUGGAGGUGGUUCACUGGUGGUUAUGAGGACGGACUGCUAGAGUUUUUGGUUAGGGAGAUGGAGGAAGAAGAUGAUGAAUAGUGGGGAAUGGCGGCAGAUCUAAGCUGGAGAGAGUUAGAGAGUCUUUAGGUUUUUUG